rnacentral:lncRNA from 13 species
AUGCCUGAGGUUGAGGGUUGGACCCUGGGAAUGUUCUCCUGGUGCCCAUGGAUGGAGAUCCACCAGGUGGGAUGGGAUCUGCAGGGAUGGGAUCCAACCAUGGGAAUGCUGUCCCAGUGCCUGUGGAUGGGGUCGUUCCAUGCCCUGGGGUUGAGGGUUGGAUUCUUGGAAUGUUCUCCUGGCACUCAUGGAUGGGAUCAUUCCAUGCCUGAGGUUGAGGGUUGGACCCUGGGAAUGUUCUCCUGGUGCCCAUGGAUGGAGAUCCACCAGGUGGGAUGGGAUCUGCAGGGAUGGGAUCCAACCAUGGGAAUGCUGUCCCAGUGCCUGUGGAUGGGGUCGUUCCAUGCCCUGGGGUUGAGGGUUGGAUUCUUGGAAUGUUCUCCUGGCACUCAUGGAUGGGAUCAUUCCAUGCCUGAGGUUGAGGGUUGGACCCUGGGAAUGUUCUCCUGGUGCCCAUGGAUGGAGAUCCACCAGGUGGGAUGGGAUCUGCAGGGAUGGGAUCCAACCAUGGGAAUGCUGUCCCAGUGCCUGUGGAUGGGGUCGUUCCAUGCCCUGGGGUUGAGGGUUGGAUUCUUGGAAUGUUCUCCUGGCACUCAUGGAUGGGAUCAUUCCAUGCCUGAGGUUGAGGGUUGGACCCUGGGAAUGUUCUCCUGGUGCCCAUGGAUGGAGAUCCACCAGGUGGGAUGGGAUCUGCAGGGAUGGGAUCCAACCAUGGGAAUGCUGUCCCAGUGCCUGUGGAUGGGGUCGUUCCAUGCCCUGGGGUUGAGGGUUGGAUUCUUGGAAUGUUCUCCUGGCACUCAUGGAUGGGAUCAUUCCAUGCCUGAGGUUGAGGGUUGGACCCUGGGAAUGUUCUCCUGGUGCCCAUGGAUGGAGAUCCACCAGGUGGGAUGGGAUCUGCAGGGAUGGGAUCCAACCAUGGGAAUGCUGUCCCAGUGCCUGUGGAUGGGGUCGUUCCAUGCCCUGGGGUUGAGGGUUGGAUUCUUGGAAUGUUCUCCUGGCACUCAUGGAUGGGAUCAUUCCAUGCCUGAGGUUGAGGGUUGGACCCUGGGAAUGUUCUCCUGGUGCCCAUGGAUGGAGAUCCACCAGGUGGGAUGGGAUCUGCAGGGAUGGGAUCCAACCAUGGGAAUGCUGUCCCAGUGCCUGUGGAUGGGGUCGUUCCAUGCCCUGGGGUUGAGGGUUGGAUUCUUGGAAUGUUCUCCUGGCACUCAUGGAUGGGAUCAUUCCAUGCCUGAGGUUGAGGGUUGGACCCUGGGAAUGUUCUCCUGGUGCCCAUGGAUGGAGAUCCACCAGGUGGGAUGGGAUCUGCAGGGAUGGGAUCCAACCAUGGGAAUGCUGUCCCAGUGCCUGUGGAUGGGGUCGUUCCAUGCCCUGGGGUUGAGGGUUGGAUUCUUGGAAUGUUCUCCUGGCACUCAUGGAUGGGAUCAUUCCAUGCCUGAGGUUGAGGGUUGGACCCUGGGAAUGUUCUCCUGGUGCCCAUGGAUGGAGAUCCACCAGGUGGGAUGGGAUCUGCAGGGAUGGGAUCCAACCAUGGGAAUGCUGUCCCAGUGCCUGUGGAUGGGGUCGUUCCAUGCCCUGGGGUUGAGGGUUGGAUUCUUGGAAUGUUCUCCUGGCACUCAUGGAUGGGAUCAUUCCAUGCCUGAGGUUGAGGGUUGGACCCUGGGAAUGUUCUCCUGGUGCCCAUGGAUGGAGAUCCACCAGGUGGGAUGGGAUCUGCAGGGAUGGGAUCCAACCAUGGGAAUGCUGUCCCAGUGCCUGUGGAUGGGGUCGUUCCAUGCCCUGGGGUUGAGGGUUGGAUUCUUGGAAUGUUCUCCUGGCACUCAUGGAUGGGAUCAUUCCAUGCCUGAGGUUGAGGGUUGGACCCUGGGAAUGUUCUCCUGGUGCCCUUGGAUGGAGAUCCACCAGGUGGUGAAGGGCAGGAGACCCCCCAGGUGGAACGGGAUCUGCAGGGAUGGGAUCUGGUCAUGGGAAUGUUCUCCUGGUGCCCAUGGAUGGAGAUCCACCAGGUGGUGA